UACGAGUGCCCCGAGCGUUAUCCGGAAUCAUUGGGCGUAAAGGGUGUGUAGGUGGUUGUGUUAGUCUUUUGUCAAAACCCGAAGCUUAACUCCGGAUCCGCGAAAGAAACGGCACGACUAGAGGAUGCGAGGGAUGUGUGGAACUCAUGGAGUAGGGGUGAAAUCCGUUGAUAUCAUGGGGAACACCGAAAGCGAAGGCAGCACAUUGGCGCAUUCCUGACACUGAAACACGAAAGCGUGGGUAGCGAAUGGG
rnacentral:rRNA from 1 species